CCGAUGGAGGGGGAUAACUACUGGAAACGGUAGCUAAUACCGCAUAACGUCGCAAGACCAAAGAGGGGGACCUUGGGCCUCUUGCCAUCGGAUGUGCCCAGAUGGGAUUAGCUAGUAGGUGGGGUAACGGCUCACCUAGGCGACGAUCCCUAGCUGGUCUGAGAGGAUGACCAGCACACUGGAACUGAGACACGGUCCAG
rnacentral:rRNA from 1 species